AUAUUACGUGGCCCAGGAGGAACUAAAACUCCUGAAAACCUGCCAGGGCCCAUCACGCCCCUCUCUGUUACCCUGAAACUUCAGGAAAAGUCAGAUCCACACAGCAGCUUGAUUAGCAGUGCUUGUCGGGAGUGGGCGGAGCAGGAAGAAUGCUGUGUCUAGGCUGGGGUGGGGGGAUAGGAGGAGAAUGUCAGCUGUAGGAGCCAAGGGGACUGGCAAGGAGCUGUGCAACCACAGAGGAAAAGCAUAUGGAUCCUCCCUUGAGCUACCCAACUUUACAUUAAAGACAGGUCCUUGCUCUGUUGCCCAGGCUACUGUGCAGUGGCAUGAUCAUAGUUCACUGCAACCUCAAACUCCUGAGCUUCAGCGAUCCUCCCACCUCAGCCUCCCAAGUAGUCCCAUAGUCCCAGCCCCUGAGCUGGGACUACAGGUAUGUGCCACCAUGCCUGGCUAAUUUUUUAUAUAGACGGGGUUUCACUAUAUUGCGCAGACUUGUCUUGAACUCCUGGGCUCAAGCAACCCUCCUGCUUCAGCCUCCCAAAGCACUGGGAUUACAGGCAUGAGGCCCCUGACCUCCAAGGGUUACAGGGUUACAUCUCUUUUUUUUUUUUUUUUUUUGAGACUUAGUUUCGUUCUUGUCCCCAAGGCUAGAAUGCAGUGGUGUGAUCUCAGCUCACUGCAAACUCCGCCUCCUGGGUUUCAGCAAUUCUCUUGCUUCACCCUCUGGAGUAGCUGGCACAGAUGCGCGCCACCACUCCUGGCUAAUUUUUGUAGUUUUAGUAGAGACGGGGUCUCACUGUGUUGGCCAGGCUGGUCUCAAACUCUUGACCUCAGGUGAUCUGCCCACCUCAGCCUCCGAAAGUGCUAGGAUUACAGGGGUAAGCCACCGUGCCAGGCCCUCCAAGGGUUACAUCUUAUGUAAAGUAUCAAAGCUAGGAAACUGAGGUGGGUAUAACGUGUCUGCCUAAUUCUGUGUUGUUUUAUCACAUGCAAAUUUGUGUAACUACUACCACUUCAAGUAAAAUGCAGAAAUGCUCCCUCACCAAACAGAUCUCUCUGGUGAGACCUCUGUGUAGCCACACCCACUCUCUCCCCAUCAACAACUAAUGUGUCUCCAUCGCUAUCAUUUUGAGGAGGCUGAGUUUUAAAUCAACUUCCGACCCUCUCAGCAGUGUGACCUUGGAUAAGUCACUUGUCUUUUUCUGGAUGUUGAUCUUCUCAGCUAAAGUAAGACAAGGUUGGGUCACAUCAACAUUCCUCUUGAAUUUCCACAGGCUGAUAUGAUCUGAAAAUGCUACAGAGAUUACGAGAAAGAAAAUGGGGUUUUAUGGUGAAAUAAACUAGGGAAAUGGUGCUUUACAUAAAUACAUAAUGCUUCUUUACCAUGAAUUCUCAGCCCUUUAAUACACUAAGGUGAACUGUGAAUCUUCUAGUGUGGGAGGUAUAUGCAGCAUUUUCCAAAUCUAUCUGAACACAGAAUGCUCCCCCUACUCUUAAAAAAAUCCUCUAGAAAAAAAAAUCACUUGGAACGAGUUUUUCAGGGAAUAUGCUUAGAGAUAUGCUUUUUCAGGUGACCUCUGAGGUCCUCCUGCCUCAGGGAUCCCACCCAGAUUAAAUACCUAGAAAUAUAUCCUCCCUCGUGGGUUAAAUUAUGUAUCUUCAGCCAAAACCUAAGAGUGUGACCUUAUUUGAAAUAAGGGUCUUUUCAAGUGUAAUUAAGAUAAGGAUCUUGAGAUGAGAUCAUUCUAGUUUAGGGUGAAGUCUAAAUCCAAUGAAGAGUGUCCUUAUCAGAGACGGAAAAGGGGGACACGCAUAGACACAGAAGAAAAUGAUAGGCUGGGCAUGAUGGCUUGCACCUGUAAUCCCAGAGCUUCGGGAGGCUGAGGCAGGAGGAUUGCUCAAGCCCAGGAGUUCCAGGCUGCAGUGAGCUAUAAUCACCCCACUGCACUCCAGCCUGGGUGACAGAGCGAGACCCUGUCUCUGAAAAAAGAAAGAAGGAAGGAAGGAAGGAAAGAAAAAGAAAGAAAGAGAAAGAAAGAAAGAAAAAAAAGAAAAGAAAAGAGAGAGAGAAAGAGAGAAAGGGAGAGAGGAAGAAAGGGAAGGGAGGGAGGGGAAGGAAGGAAGGAAGGGAGGGAGGGAGGGAGGGAAUGCUCUGUGCUGUAGAGGCAGAGUCUGGAGGGCAGCCAUAAGCUACGGGCCACCCAGGAUUGCCAGCAGCCGCCAGAAGAUAGGCAAGGGCAACCCUAACCAUGCUUGGAUUUCAGACUUCUGGCCUCCAGAACUGAGAGAUAAUAAAUUUCUGUUUUUUUAAGCCACCCACUCUGCGGUUCUUUGCUACAGCAACCUGAGGAAACACAUAACCCUCUUUUCAGACUCUUGGGGUAUUUUAUUUUUAUUUAUUUUUUGUAGAGAUGGGGUUUCACUUUGUUGCCCAGGCUAGUCUCGAACUUCUGGGCUCAAGCUACCCUCCCGCCUAGACCUCCCAAAGUGCUGGGAUUACAGGCCUGAGCCACCGCGCCCCGACAAGGGGUUUUUAUUUUUUAAAACAGCAGGGGUUGUUCACAAGUGCAGUCACGGUGUACUGCAACCUUGAACUCCUGGGCUCACUUGAUCCUCCCACUUCAGCCUGCGGAGCAGCUGGGACUACAGGGUCUCGCUCUGUCACCCAGGCUGGAGUGCAGUGGUGUGAUCACAGCUCACUGCAGCUUCAACCUCUUGAUCUCUUAAGCAAUCAUCUCACCUCAGUCUCCCGCUGCCCCACCUCCCCCCUACCCCACCCUGCCAUCGGAUAGCUGGGACCACAGACUCGCACCACCAUGAGUGAAGCCAAAAAAUACUUUUUGUGUUUUUUGUAGAGACAGGGGUCUCUCUAUGUUGCCCAAGCUGGUCUCGAACUCCUGGGCUCAAGCGAUCCUCCCUGCCACCUUGGCCUCCUGAAGUGCUGGGAUUACCGGAGUGAGCCACGGUGCCCAGCCCAUUGGAGGAUUUUUUUUUUUUUUUGAGACGGAGUCUCGCUGUCACCCAGGCUGGAGUGCAGUGGCACGAUCUCAGCUCACUGCAACCUCCGCCUCAUUGGAGGAUUUUAAGCACGGGAAUAACAAGUCUUGUUUGCGCUUUAGAAAGAUCUCCCUAAGUGCAGUGUGUGGGAUAAACUGCAGGGGGCGAGAUGGAGACAAGCCUGGAGGCAGAAAUCAGGUAGGUCAUUAGGAUAGGCUGGGCUGGGGAUGAAGGUGGCUUGGUCGAGGGCUGUAACUGUGAAAUGGUAAUAAGUGGGCCUAGGUCUAUCUUGGAGGCAGCACCGUCAGGAUGAUGGGGUGAGGGAAAGAGAAAUCACAAUAAUUUCCUAGUGUUUUAGCCUACACAGCUGGGCGAAUGGGGAGCCAUCUAUUUAUGAUAGGAGACCUUGGGAAAGACUGGAUUUGAGGGGGUGGUGGAGGGAAAUUCGAGCCUGCUUUUGGCUGGGAGAUGCUCACUAGGCAUCCAAGAGGAGGCGUGAGGUAGUUAAAUAUGUGAGUCUGAGUCCCAGGGAGAAGUCUCGGCGGGAGAUUAAGUCUUGAGAUUCAUCAGACCAGAGAUGGUCUGUGAAGCCACAGAUCAGGAUGACAGCCACUACGGGAAUGAACAAAGAUGAAGACCGGAGACCCCAAGACAGACCUCCGGGGCAGCCAUCACUGAGAGAAGGCGGAGGAGGAGGGGGAAGUGAAGGCUCCUGAGGAGAAGGCCGUGUGGAGGAGGAAACCAGGGGAAGGUGGAGUCGGAGACACUGGAAAAACAGCCUCCCAAAGUGCUGGGAUUACAGGCAUGAGCUACCGUGCUGGGCCCCUUCCCAACUUUGGAUUCAGAGCUAUGUCCUACCAGAGCCAGAAGGGGCCGCCCUCUUCACCGUACAGAUGGGCACACCAACGCCUGGAGAUGUUGGAUGCAGAAGGCGAAAUGUCAGAAGCUGGAGUUCUGCAUCUCAGCUGGAGGGUGAGGGCUGAUAAUUUAUCAGUUGCCAUUGAUCAAAGUUCACAAGGCGAAUCUUCAUAAACUUCUAAAGCUGCCUACAGUUUCCAGUAAACAAAUCUCUUUAAAUUUACAAAAGCAAUGCUUGCUGAUUGUAAAAAACACACAGUGCCAAAGCAUACAAAGGAAGAAGACCUGCUUGCAAUUCGCUACCUACAUCCUACUCCUGGGGCCAACAACUAUUGGAAGUGUGGUGAAUGAUUGACUUAUAUCCUUCUAGAUCUUAUCUACAUAUUUGCAAAGAAAAAAUAUACAUAUAUAAAAUAAAACAUGUAUGGGUUAUAUCCUUACAAACUGA